rnacentral:rRNA from 1 species
UACGUAGGGGGCAAGCGUUGUCCGGAUUUAUUGGGCGUAAAGCGCGUGUAGGCGGCCAGAUAGGUCUGCUGUGAAAACUCGAGGCUCAACCUCGAGAUGUCGGCGGAAACCACUUGGCUAGAGUCCGGAAGAGGAGAGUGGAAUUCCCGGUGUAGCGGUGAAAUGCGCAGAUAUCGGGAAGAACACCUAUGGCGAAGGCAGCUCUCUGGGACGGUACUGACGCUGAGACGCGAAAGCGUGGGGAGCGAACAGG